UACGGAGGAUCCGAGCGUUAUCCGGAUUUAUUGGGUUUAAAGGGUGCGCAGGCGGGGGAUUAAGUCGGCGGUGAAAUUUUGCAGCUCAACUGUAAAAGUGCCUUCGAAACUGGUUUCCUUGAGUGUAGAUGAAGUAGGCGGAAUUUGUGGUGUAGCGGUGAAAUGCUUAGAUAUCACGAGGAACUCCGAUUGCGCAGGCAGCUUACUGGGAUGCAACUGACGCUGAGGCACGAAAGCGUGGGUAUCAAACAGGAUUAGAUACCCGUGUA
rnacentral:rRNA from 1 species